AUAAAAUCAAACCGGCCAUAUUUGUCAAUGAUGUUACUCCAAUUAGAAGUAGACAAACUUUGCAGCAGUUUAUAAGAUUGUCAAGGUUAUCCUGUACCAGAGCACGACGCUUAAUAGUAGUCAUAUAGAAGAGGCUGAUUGUCAUCAGAUCUGGGAGUGCAGGAGAGAAGAUCAUCAAGAUGGUUUCGAGAGGAGGAAGGUGUUUGUGUUUGGUGC